rnacentral:rRNA from 1 species
AUACGUAGGGUGCAAGCGUUAAUCGGAAUUACUGGGCGUAAAGCGUGCGCAGGCGGUUUUGUAAGACAGUGGUGAAAUCCCCGGGCUCAACCUGGGAACUGCCAUUGUGACUGCAAGGCUGGAGUGCGGCAGAGGGGGAUGGAAUUCCGCGUGUAGCAGUGAAAUGCGUAGAUAUGCGGAGGAACACCGAUGGCGAAGGCAAUCCCCUGGGUCUGCACUGACGCUCAUGCACGAAAGCGUGGGGAGCAAACAGGAUUAGAUACCCUGGUAGUCCACGCCCUAAACGAUGUCAACUGGUUGUUGGGGAUUUAUUUUCUCAGUAACGAAGCUAACGCGUGAAGUUGACCGCCUGGGGAGUACGGCCGCAAGGUUAAAACUCAAAUGAAUUGACGGGG